UAGAGUUUGAUCCUGGCUCAGGACGAACGCUGGCGGCGUGCUUAACACAUGCAAGUCGUGGGGGGGGAGAGGGCAACUUCUUCCUCACCGGCGAACGGGUGCGUAACACGUGAGCAACCUACCGAUGUCUGGGGGAUAGCCGGCCCAACGGCCGGGUAAUACCGCAUACGCUCAGUGAGAGGAGUCUCUUGCUGAGGAAACCUCCGGGGGAGAUCGAGGGGCUCGCGGCCUAUCAGCUAGUUGGCGAGGGUAAUGGCCCACCAAGGCGAUGACGGGUAGCUGGUCUGAGAGGAUGGCCAGCCACAUUGGGACUGAGAGACGGCCCAGACUCCUACGGGAGGCAGCAGUGGGGAAUCUUGCGCAAUGGUCGAAAGACUGACGCAGCGACGCCGCGUGCGGGA
rnacentral:rRNA from 1 species